rnacentral:rRNA from 1 species
GACGAACGCUGGCGGCGUGCCUAAUACAAGCAAGUCGAGCGCAGGAAACUGACGGAACUCUUCGGAAGGAAGGCAGUGGAAUGAGCGGCGGACGGGUGAGUAACACGUAAGGAACCUGCCUCAAGGAUUGGGAUAACUCCGAGAAAUCGGAGCUAAUACCGGAUAGUUCAACGGACCGCAUGGUCCGCUGAUGAAAGGCGCUUCGGCGUCACCUUGAGAUGGCCUUGCGGUGCAUUAGCUAGUUGGUGGGGUAACGGCCCACCAAGGCGACGAUGCAUAGCCGACCUGAGAGGGUGAUCGGCCACACUGGGACUGAGACACGGCCCAGACUCCUACGGGAGGCAGCAGUAGGGAAUCUUCCACAAUGGACGAAAGUCUGAUGGAGCAACGCCGCGUGAGUGAUGAAGGUUUUCGGAUCGUAAAACUCUGUUGUAAGGGAAGAACACGUACGAGAGGAAAUGCUCGUACCUUGACGGUACCUUACGAGAAAGCCACGGCUAACUACGUGCCAGCAGCCGCGGUAA